rfam:Ictidomys tridecemlineatus contig132362, whole genome shotgun sequence.
GGGGUUGUAGCUUAGUGGUUGAGCACUUGCCUUGCAUGCAUGAGGCACUGGGUUCGAUCCUUAGCAAGCACCA